UGGCACGGAUUCGAUUCAGCGUCUCAGCAAAAGCAACAUCAUCUUUCUGACGCAUGAUUUCGGUCAGUGUGACCAUCUGAAAGUUGUCACGCCAGAGGUCGAUCUGAGUCGGGUCGAACACACACAGAGGUUUCGACUGUCUGACAGGUGGUAGCUGGUAGAAAUCUCCAACAGUGAGAACUGACAUUCCACCAAAAGGUCUCUGACUUCCUUUGAUUUGUUUCAGUCUUGCGUCCACAUAGGCAAAGAGCUGUUUGGAGAC